rnacentral:rRNA from 1 species
GGACCCGCACAAGCAGCGGAGCAUGUGGUUUAAUUCGAAGCAACGCGAAGAACCUUACCAGGGCUUGACAUCCCUCUGACCGGUCGGUAACGCGACCUUUCCUUCGGGACAGAGGAGACAGGUGGUGCAUGGUUGUCGUCAGCUCGUGUCGUGAGAUGUUGGGUUAAGUCCCGCAACGAGCGCAACCCUUGUCAUUAGUUGCCAGCAGGUUAAGCUGGGCACUCUAGUGAGACUGCCGGGGAUAACUCGGAGGAAGGUGGGGAUGACGUCAAAUCAUCAUCGCCCCUUAUGUUCUGGGCUACACACGUGCUACAAUGGCCGGUACAAAGCGACGCGAACUCGCGAGGGGAGCAAAUCACGAAAACCGGUCCCAGUUCGGAUUGCAGGCUGCAACUCGCCUGCAUGAAGUCGGAGUUGCUAGUAAUCGUGAAUCAGAAUGUCA